rnacentral:rRNA from 1 species
UGCAAGUCAGGGGGAACGUUCGAGCUUGCUCGAAUUAGUAAACCGGCGGACGGGUGAGUAACACGUAGGUAACCUGCCUCUAGGUUUGGGAUAACCUCGCUAACGCGGGGCUAAUACCGGAUAAUACAACGAAUUCGCAUGGAUAUGUUGUUAAAGUGGGCUUCGGCUCACGCCUGAAGAUGGACCUGCGCCUCAUUAGCUUGUUGGUAGGGUAACGGCCUACCAAGGCUACGAUGGGUAGCCGGCCUGAGAGGGUGACCGACCACACUGGGACUGAGAUACGGCCCAGACUCCUACGGGAGGCAGCAGUGAGGAAUAUUGGGCAAUGGCCGAAAGGCUGACCCAGCAACGCCGCGUGAGGGAUGAAGCUCCAUGGAGUGUAAACCUCUUUCGGGAGGGAAGAACUUCUCCAAAGUUAAUAAUUUUGGAGAUUGACGGUACCUCCUAAAGAAGCCCCGGCUAACUCCGUGCCAGCAGCCGCGGUAAUACGGGGGGGGCGAGCGUUGUCCGGAAUUAUUGGGCGUAAAGGGCGCGUAGGCGGAAUAGUAAGUCAGAAGUGAAAAUCAUGGGCUUAACUCAUGACCUGCUUUUGAUACUGCUAUUCUCGAGUGCGAGAGAGGAAAGCAGAAUUCCCGGUGUAGCGGUGAAAUGCGUAGAUAU